rnacentral:rRNA from 1 species
AACGCUAGCUACAGGCUUAACACAUGCAAGUCGAGGGGCAGCAUGGUCUUAGCUUGCUAAGGCCGAUGGCGACCGGCGCACGGGUGAGUAACACGUAUCCAACCUGCCGUCUACUCUUGGACAGCCUUCUGAAAGGAAGAUUAAUACAAGAUGGCAUCAUGAGUCCGCAUGUUCACAUGAUUAAAGGUAUUCCGGUAGACGAUGGGGAUGCGUUCCAUUAGAUAGUAGGCGGGGUAACGGCCCACCUAGUCUUCGAUGGAUAGGGGUUCUGAGAGGAAGGUCCCCCACAUUGGAACUGAGACACGGUCCAAACUCCUACGGGAGGCAGCAGUGAGGAAUAUUGGUCAAUGGGCGAGAGCCUGAACCAGCCAAGUAGCGUGAAGGAUGACUGCCCUAUGGGUUGUAAACUUCUUUUAUAAAGGAAUAAAGUCGGGUAUGGAUACCCGUUUGCAUGUACUUUAUGAAUAAGGAUCGGCUAACUCCGUGCCAGCAGCCGCGGUAAUACGGAGGAUCCGAGCGUUAUCCGGAUUUAUUGGGUUUAAAGGGAGCGUAGAUGGAUGUUUAAGUCAGUUGUGAAAGUUUGCGGCUCAACCGUAAAAUUGCAGUUGAUACUGGAUAUCUUGAGUGCAGUUGAGGCAGGCGGAAUUCGUGGUGUAGCGGUGAAAUGCUUAGAUAUCACGAAGAACUCCGAUCGCGAAGGCAGCCUGCUAAGCUGCAACUGACAUUGAGGCUCGAAAGUGUGGGUAUCAAACAGGAUUAGAUACCCUGGUAGUCCACACGGUAAACGAUGAAUACUCGCUGUUUGCGAUAUACUGCAAGCGGCCAAGCGAAAGCGUUAAGUAUUCCACCUGGGGAGUACGCCGGCAACGGUGAAACUCAAAGGAAUUGACGGGGGCCCGCACAGGCGGAGGAACAUGUGGUUUAAUUCGAUGAUACGCGAGGAACCUUACCCGGGCUUAAAUUGCAGAUGAAUUACGGUGAAAGCCGUAAGCCGCAAGGCAUCUGUGAAGGUGCUGCAUGGUUGUCGUCAGCUCGUGCCGUGAGGUGUCGGCUUAAGUGCCAUAACGAGCGCAACCCUUGUUGUCAGUUACUAACAGGUUCCGCUGAGGACUCUGACAAGACUGCCAUCGUAAGAUGUGAGGAAGGUGGGGAUGACGUCAAAUCAGCACGGCCCUUACGUCCGGGGCUACACACGUGUUACAAUGGGGGGUACAGAGGGCCGCUACCACGCGAGUGGAUGCCAAUCCCCAAAACCUCUCUCAGUUCGGACUGGAGUCUGCAACCCGACUCCACGAAGCUGGAUUCGCUAGUAAUCGCGCAUCAGCCACGGCGCGGUGAAUACGUUCCCGGGCCUUGUACACACCGCCCGUCAAGCCAUGGGAGCCGGGGGUACCUGAAGUGCGUAACCGCGAGGAGCGCCCUAGGGUAAAACUGGUGACUGGGG